CAAUACAAAUAGUACUCCAAUGGGUAGUAAAAUAAAUGACUAUAAUAGUAAUAAUAAUAGUAAUAAUAACAAUAAUAAUAAUAAUAAUUACAAUAAUACUAACAAUAAUAAUAACAAUAAUACUAACAAUAAUAAUAACAAUAAUAAUAGUAAUAAUAAUAAUAGUAAUAAUAAUGUUCAUAAUAAUAGUAAUAAUAAUGUUAAUAAUAAUAAUAAUAGUACUAGUAAUAGUUCUAGUAAUAAUAGUACUAGUAAUAGUACUAGUAAUAAUAACAUAAAUGUCGUUGAUAAUAUCAUAAGGAUUAGUGACAACAUGAACACUUGUAACAAUGCAAAUUAUAAAACAGAUAACUUCAAAAAUUCUUCGUAUAGUAAAAAAUAAAAUGUGUAGAUUCUUUUAAAUAUGAAAAUAAUAAAGUAAAUUAUAAUAAAAACCA
rnacentral:lncRNA from 1 species